AAUCAACGCUGGCGGCGCGCUUAACACAUGCAAGUCGAACGAGAAAGGGGAGCAAUCCCUGAGUACAGUGGCGUACGGGUGAGUAACACGUGGAUGAUCUACCUUCUAGUGGGGAAUACCUCUGGGAAACCGGAGACAAUACCGCAUAAGCUCGAGAGAGGAAACCCGCAAGGGGCUGGAAGAGGAGUCCGCGGCCGAUUAGCUAGUUGGUGGGGUAAAAGCCUACCAAGGCAAAGAUCGGUAGCCGGCCUGAGAGGGCACACGGCCACACUGGGAC
rnacentral:rRNA from 1 species